rnacentral:rRNA from 1 species
GAUGAACGCUGGCGGCAUGCCUAACACAUGCAAGUCGAACGGCAAGACAGUGAUAUCUUGCUCUUACCGGUGGCGGGUGGCGGGCGGAUGACGAGUGCAUCCGAACCUACUCUUUCGGGUAGGUUAACGUAACGAAACUUACUCUAAUACAGCAUACGAUCUACGGGUGAAAGCAGUGGAUAUUCUCACCUUUCGCGAUUGAACUAGCCGAUGUCGGAGUAGCUAGUUGGGGGGUUAAAGACCCACCAAGGCGACGAUACGUAGCUGGUCUGAGAGGAUGAUCGGCCACAUUGGAACUGAGACACGGUCCAGACUCCUACGGGAGGCAGCAGUGGGGAAUAUUGGGCAAUGGGCGAAAGCCUGAUGCAGCCAUACCGCGUGUGUGAAGAAGGCCUUGGGUUUGUAAAGCCCUUUUGUUGGGAAAGAACAGCUGUAGGUUAAUACGCCGCUGUUCUGACGGUACCGAAUGAAUAAGCACCGGCUAACUACGUG